GGUGUACACAUGGCCCGAGGUGUACACAGACUUGGUGUACACAUGGCCCGAGGUGUACACAGACUUGGUGUACACAUGGCCCGAGGUGUACACUGUGGUACAAGUAAAGGUUGGCUACUGACUACAUCUUUCCACAGAGAUUAUUACCUAAGUACAACCUCUUGAGUCAACAACUUGGUGACUGAGGUCUGGACAUGCCACACUGGAUUAAAAAAAUAAUAAUAAAAAAUAAAAAAAAGCC